rnacentral:lncRNA from 1 species
AUAAGUAAAAACUCAAGUCCGACUCAUGCCUGUAGUGGGCCUAGCCCAAGCUCAGCUCAGGUCCACAAUAGGUCUAGUCUUUACAUUUUUACUCUAAUGGGCUUGAGCCUGAGCUUGAAAAAACUCAAGUCUUUAAUGCUGCGUUUACUUUUUGGAUUGGAGUAGGAAUCCUGAGGAGUGGGAAUCCUUGGAUUAGGAGUGUGGAAUGAGAGUGGGAGUAGGUUGUUUACUUACACUAGAAUGGAAGCAUGGAAUAGAUAUCAGAAUCCAAUUUAUGUGUUUACUUUGUCUUGGAUUGGGAGUAAAUAGUUUCAAAUUACAAUUUUAUCCUUAUUUAAAGAAUUAUAGUUUUUAAUUACAAAACUAAUAAAAAAUAUAUUUAA